AAUAAUCGCGCUUGAUUAUUCAGGUGAGGAAAGUCCGUGCAUUCAAGGACAGGCAGCCGGAGAAACUCCGGACGGUGUGAACCGGUGGAAAAGUGCCACAGAAAAGUUAACUGCCGAUGGACAAAAUUGUCACAGGCGAUGGUGCAACGGUGAGGUAAGAGCUCACCUGCGUUUACCGAAAGGUAGCGGCAAGGUAAACCCCUGCAGAAUGCAAGAUUGAAUUGAAGGCUAUAAAGGCUGUCCGCCAACUUCAGAAAAAUCGCUAGAGAUUGGAAGUAAUUCCAAUACCAGACAGAUGAUUAUUUAGAAACAGAACACGGCUUAUGAGUUACUU
rnacentral:RNase_P_RNA from 1 species